GUGUAUGUUAUGCUGGGAUGUGCUGGUCAUACAUUUCAGUGAGCAUGUGUGUUGGAAAGAGCAGGAGGAAUCAGGUCUAGUCCAAAGAAUUGCAAGAGAUCCUGGUAUGUGUGGAUGUCAUCUGUGCUUGUUUCUGCAUUCACUUUAAAGUCAAGUGGAGCUCCCUGUAGGCAAUACAAUGUGUAUGCCAAGAAAACAAACAAACAAAUAAAAAUUUCAAGUUGAAAUUAGUGCUUGGAUUUGUAUUAUGGAACUCUAAAGAUGCACAGACCUGUUAAAUUAUCAUUGAGAAAAAUAUUUGGGUUGAAGCAGCAAUUACAUUUUUGUUGCCAAAAAAAAGGAUUUGAAGUAAAAAGGCGGCAGUCUAUAAUAAAUUGCACCUCCCAAUCUUGUAAAAUAACUGAAGAAUGACAGAGAUGAGAAUGAGAAAAAAAUAAAUGAACACAAAGGACUCUUCACCAGAAGAACAAACUGAAAAUCCACUGUAAAGUAGAGGUAUUUGCAUUCAGUGUUUUCCUUGUAGGAUAUAUGGUGCAUUAUUAUCCAAGGCCCUUAAUUGGUGCUUUGUUUUUUCUGUUAACUUUCAAAAAAUUUGUACAGACGUGUGUAAUUCAAAGGCUUUAUGUUUAAAGAUAGAAGCAAAAUAUUUAAAUAUAUUUAAAUAGACUUUUGUGGGGUCUGUGUCUAUAGGGACCUAAUAGUUAAAGGAGAGUUUACCAUGUAUUGUCUGGAAAUGCCAAUUCAGAGCGUCUUUGAUAUUGGUUGAAAUAAAGAGCACUAGUACUCUUGCAUUCUUUUGAACAUUUACCCCUCAAAAAAGCAAAUUAAAUAAAUCAAAGCUAAAACAAUCACUCUGAAUCUCAUUCAGUGUGCAAAUACACACAUCAUAAAACACCAGGGAACUGUUGUGGGAAGCCUGUACUAUAGAUCACAAGAAAAUUCAGGUGGCAGCCAAUCAAGAAACAAAGCACAGAAACUUUAGGCCUUACGGUUUUCCUGCACAGUUUGCUCUUCUGCCUCAAAUGUGAAU